AUACAUGCAAGUCGAGCGAACAGAUGAGGAGCUUGCUCCUCUGACGUUAGCGGCGGACGGGUGAGUAACACGUGGGUAACCUACCUAUAAGACUGGAAUAACUCCGGGAAACCGGGGCUAAUGCCGGAUAAUAUGCGGAACCGCAUGGUUCUGCAAUGAAAGACGGUCUUGCUGUCACUUAUAGAUGGACCCGCGCCGUAUUAGCUAGUUGGUAAGGUAACGGCUUACCAAGGCAACGAUACGUAGCCGACCUGAGAGGGUGAUCGGCCACACUGGAACUGAGACACGGUCCAGACUCCUACGGGAGGCAGCAGUAGGGAAUCUUCCGCAAUGGGCGAAAGCCUGACGGAGCAACGCCGCGUGAGUGAUGAAGGUCUUCGGAUCGUAAAACUCUGUUAUUAGGGAAGAACAAGUGCGUAGGUAACUAUGCGCACCUUGACGGUACCUAAUCAGAAAGCCACGGCUAACUACGUGCCAGCAGCCGCGGUAAUACGUAGGUGGCAAGCGUUAUCCGGAAUUAUUGGGCGUAAAGCGCGCGUAGGCGGUUUUUUAAGUCUGAUGUGAAAGCCCACGGCUCAACCGUGGAGGGUCAUUGGAAACUGGAAAACUUGAGUGCAGAAGAGGAAAGUGGAAUUCCAUGUGUAGCGGUGAAAUGCGCAGAGAUAUGGAGGAACACCAGUGGCGAAGGCGACUUUCUGGUCUGCAACUGACGCUGAUGUGCGAAAGCGUGGGGAUCAAACAGGAUUAGAUACCCUGGUAGUCCACGCCGUAAACGAUGAGUGCUAAGUGUUAGGGGGUUUCCGCCCCUUAGUGCUGCAGCUAACGCAUUAAGCACUCCGCCUGGG
rnacentral:rRNA from 1 species